GUGCCAGCCGCCGCGGUAAUACGAAGGGGGCUAGCGUUGUUCGGAAUUACUGGGCGUAAAGCGCGCGUAGGCGGUCUUGCCAGUCAGAGGUGAAAUCCCGGGGCUCAACCUCGGAAUUGCCUUUGAUACUGUAAGACUUGAGUCCGUGAGAGGGUGGUGGAAUAUCCAGUGUAGAGGUGAAAUUCGUAGAUAUUGGAUGGAACACCAGUGGCGAAGGCGGCCACCUGGCACGGUACUGACGCUGAGGUGCGAAAGCGUGGGGAGCAAACAGGAUUAGAAACCCGAGUAGUCCCGAAA
rnacentral:rRNA from 1 species